rnacentral:misc_RNA from 1 species
GAUGAAGAACGCAGUGAAAUGCGAUAAGUAGUGUGAAUUGCAGAAUUCAGUGAAUCAUCGAGUCUUUGAACGCACAUUGCGCCUCCUGGUAUUCCGGGAGGCAUGCCUGUUCGAGCGUCAUUAAAAUCACUCAAGCUUAGGUUUACCUAUUGCUUGGUCUUGGAGAUGGAAGCCAAUUUAUUGGAAUCCUCUUCGAAAUUCAAUGGCGAAGACCCUUGCUCUCCCAAGUGUAGUAAUAACUUAUGUCACUGAAGGAAGCGAGAAAUCUUCUGCCGUAACCCCCAUAUUUUCUAUGAUUGACCUCGGAUCAGGUAGGGAUAGCCGCUGAACUUAAGCAUAUCAAUAAGCGGAGGA